rnacentral:tRNA from 1 species
GCCCCGGUGGCUCAGCCUGGUAGAACAGUCAAGAUGCCACAAGCGCCGCCUUGGUAAGGCGAAGGUCGCGGGUUCAAACCCCGCCCGGGGCUCCA